rnacentral:rRNA from 1 species
AUUGAACGCUGGCGGCAGGCCUAACACAUGCAAGUCGAACGAGUGGCGGACGGGUGAGUAAUGUCUGGGAAACUGCCUGAUGGAGGGGGCUAACUACUGGAAACGGUAGCUAAUACCGCAUACCAUCGGAUGUGCCCAGAUGGGAUUAGCUAGUAGGUGGGGUAAAGGCUCACCUAGGCGACGAUCCCUAGCUGGUCUGAGAGGAUGACCAGCCAAACUGGAACUGAGACACGGUCCAUACUCCUACGGGAGGCAGAAGUGGGGAAUAUUGCACAAUGGGCGCAAGCCUAAUGCAGCCAUGCCGCGUGUAUGAAGAGGGCCUUCAGGUUGUAAAAUACUUUCAGCGGGGAGGCGUAACCCGAAGGAGAAGCACCGGAUAACUCCGUGCCAGCCGCCGCGGUAAUUC